UCUUGCGCAAUGGGCGAAAGCCUGACGCAGCAACGCCGCGUGGGGGAAGAAGGCCUUCGGGUUGUAAACCCCUUUCAGUUGGGACGAAGCUUCGCCGGUGAAUAGCCGGCUGGAGUGACGGUACCUUCACAAGAAGCACCGGCUAACUACGUGCCAGCAGCCGCGGUAAUACGUAGGGUGCAAGCGUUGUCCGGAAUCAUUGGGCGUAAAGCGCGUGUAGGCGGCUUGGUCAGUCAGCUGUGAAAGCCCAGGGCUCAACCCUGGGAUGCCGGUUGAUACUGCCAAGCUCGAGUCCGGAAGAGGCGAGUGGAAUUCCUGGUGUAGCGGUGAAAUGCGCAGAUAUCAGGAGGAACACCAAUGGCGAAGGCAGCUCGCUGGGACGUGACUGACGCUGAGACGCGAAAGCGUGGGGAGCAAACAGG
rnacentral:rRNA from 1 species